rnacentral:rRNA from 1 species
UACGUAGGGGGCAAGCGUUGUCCGGAAUCAUUGGGCGUAAAGAGCGUGUAGGCGGCCUGGUAAGUCCGCUGUGAAAGUCCAGGGCUCAACCCUGGAAUGCCGGUGGAAACUGUCAGGCUCGAGUCCGGAAGAGGCGAGUGGAAUUCCUGGUGUAGCGGUGAAAUGCGCAGAUAUCAGGAGGAACACCAAUGGCGAAGGCAGCUCGCUGGGACGGUACUGACGCUGAGACGCGAAAGCGUGGGGAGCGAACGGG